UACGGAGGGUGCAAACGUUGCUCGGAAUUAUUGGGCGUAAAGCGCGCGUAGGCGGCUACCUAAGUCGGAUGUGAAAGCCCCUGGCUUAACUGGGGAAGUGCACCCGAAACUGAGUAGCUAGAGUGCGAAAGAGGGUCGCGGAAUUCCCGGUGUAGAGGUGAAAUUCGUAGAUAUCGGGAGGAACACCGGUGGCGAAGGCGGCGACCUGGGUCGACACUGACGCUGAGGCGCGAAAGCGUGGGGAGCAAACAGG
rnacentral:rRNA from 1 species